rnacentral:rRNA from 1 species
UACGGGGGGGGCAAGCGUUGUUCGGAAUUAUUGGGCGUAAAGAGCUCGUAGGCGGUUUGUCGCGUCUGCCGUGAAAGUCCGGGGCUCAACUCCGGAUCUGCGGUGGGUACGGGCAGACUAGAGUGAUGUAGGGGAGACUGGAAUUCCUGGUGUAGCGGUGAAAUGCGCAGAUAUCAGGAGGAACACCGGUGGCGAAGGCGGGUCUCUGGGCCGAUACUGACGUUGAGGAGCGAAAGCGUGGGGAGCGAACAGG